GGGCUGAAGAUGGAUGCCCCAACGUUACAGAGGAACUUUGGGUGACUGUCCAGGUCCAUACCACAAGAUACCUGACACUGGCUGGGUGACCAAGGGCCUGAAAUGGAUAGCCAGGGGUCUAUGGUAAAACCAGAUACUACUAUUCAAAAUAAGACAAAACAAAACCUCCAAAAACUAGUAAUAAAAUGAUUACCAAUGACA